GCCCGAGCGAGGGGCACCUCGAGGACUGUCUAACCUGAGAAUGGUGAAACAUGAGGGUCAAUCUCAGGUUCGUCAGCCCAUGAGAUGCCUUCUCCAGAGCG
rnacentral:pre_miRNA from 18 species